rnacentral:rRNA from 1 species
UACGUAGGGCGCAAGCGUUGUCCGGAAUUAUUGGGCGUAAAGAGCUCGUAGGCGGCUUGUCACGUCGGGUGUGAAAGCCCGGGGCUUAACCCCGGGUCUGCAUUCGAUACGGGCUAGCUAGAGUGUGGUAGGGGAGAUCGGAAUUCCUGGUGUAGCGGUGAAAUGCGCAGAUAUCAGGAGGAACACCGGUGGCGAAGGCGACUAUCUGGGUUGUAACUGACGCUGAGGCGCGAAGGCUAGGGGAGCGAACAGG